GUGUCAGCCGCCGCGGUAAUACAGAGGUCUCAACCGUUGUUCGGAUUCAUUGGGCGUAAAGGGUGCGUAGGCGGUCGCGUAAGUCGGAUGUGAAAUCUCAGGGCUCAACCCUGAAACUGCAUUCGAUACUGCGUGGCUAGGGUACUGGAGAGGAGACUGGAAUUUACGGUGUAGCAGUGAAAUGCGUAGAUAUCGUAAGGAAGACCAGUGGCGAAGGCGAGUCUCUGGACAGUUACCGACGCUGAGGCACGAAGGCCAGGGGAGCAAACGGGAUUAGAAACCCUCGUAGUCC
rnacentral:rRNA from 1 species